rnacentral:rRNA from 1 species
UACGGGGGGGGCAAGCGUUGUUCGGAAUUACUGGGCGUAAAGGGCGCGUAGGCGGUUCGCUAAGUCGGAUGUGAAAACUCUGGGCUCAACCCAGAGCCUGCAUCCGAAACUGGCGGGCUAGAGUUCUGGAGGGGGUAGCGGAAUUCCUGGUGUAGCGGUGAAAUGCGUAGAUAUCAGGAGGAACACCGGUGGCGAAGGCGGCUCACUGGCUCAUUACUGACGCUCAGGCGCGACAGCGUGGGGAUCAAACAGG